UACAGAGGUCCCAAGCGUUGUUCGGAUUCACUGGGCGUAAAGGGUGCGUAGGCGGGUCUUUAAGUCAGGGGUGAAAUCCUGGAGCUCAACUCCAGAACUGCCUUUGAUACUGAAAGUCUUGAGUAUGGGAGAGGUGUAGUGGAACUGCGAGUGUAGAGGUGAAAUUCGUAGAUAUUCGCAAGAACACCAGUGGCGAAGGCGGCUCACUGGCCCAUUACUGACGCUGAGGCACGAAAGCGUGGGGAGCAAACAGGG
rnacentral:rRNA from 1 species